AUUGAACGCUGGCGGCAGGCCUAACACAUGCAAGUCGAGCGGAUGACGGGAGCUUGCUCCUUGAUUCAGCGGCGGACGGGUGAGUAAUGCCUAGGAAUCUGCCUGGUAGUGGGGGACAACGUUUCGAAAGGAACGCUAAUACCGCAUACGUCCUACGGGAGAAAGCAGGGGACCUUCGGGCCUUGCGCUAUCAGAUGAGCCUAGGUCGGAUUAGCUAGUUGGUGGGGUAAUGGCUCACCAAGGCGACGAUCCGUAACUGGUCUGAGAGGAUGCUCAGUCACACUGGAACUGAGAAACGUUCCAGACUCCUACGGGAGGCAGCAGUGGGGAAUAUUGGACAAUGGGCGAAAGCCUGAUCCAGCCAUGCCGCGUGUGUGAAGAAGGUCUUCGGAUUGUAAAGCACUUUAAGUUGGGAGGAAGGGCAGUAAGUUAAUACCUUGCUGUUUUGACGUUACCGACAGAAUAAGCACCGGCUAACUCUGUGCCAGCCGCCGCCGUAA
rnacentral:rRNA from 1 species